AGUGAACGCUGGCGGCAGGCCUAACACAUGCCAGUCGAGCGGCAGAACGGUGCGUGCUUGUUCUUACGGCUGGCGAGGGGCGGGCGAGGGCUAGGAACAUGCGAGUCUACUUUGUCUAGCGGGAUAACGCGGGGGCUAAUACGCUAAUCGCGCAUACGACCUACGGGUGGAAUCAUGGGAUCUUACGACCUUGCAUGAUCGUAUGACGCGAUGUCGGAUUAGCUAGUUGGCGGGGUAAAGGCCCACCAAGGCGACGAUCCGUAGCUGGUCUGAGAGGAUGAUCAGCCACACUGGAACUGAGACACGGUCCAGACUCCUACGGGAGGCAGCAGUGGGGAAUAUUGGACAAUGGGCGCAAGCCUGAUCCAGCCAUACCGCGUGGGUGAAGAAGGUCUUCGGAUUGUAAAGCCCUUUUGGUUGGGAAGAAAAGCAGUAAGUUAAUACCUCGCUGUUCUGACGGUACCAAAAGAAUAAGCACCGGCUAACUUCGUG
rnacentral:rRNA from 1 species